rnacentral:rRNA from 1 species
GAUGAACGCUGGUUACGGCGUGCUUAACACAUGCAAGUCGAACGAACCUUCGGGUUAGUGGCGGACGGGUGAGUAACGCGUGAGAAUCUGCCCUCAGGAGGGGGAUAACGGUUGGAAACGACCGCUAAUACCCCAUAUGCCUAUUGGUGAAAUGAAUUUCGCCUGAGGAAAUGAGCUCGCGUCUGAUUAGCUAGUUGGUGAGGUAAUGGCUCACCAAGGCUUCGAUCAGUAGCUGGUCUGAGAGGAUGAUCAGCCACACUGGGACUGAUUAAGACACGGCCCAGACUCCUACGGGAGGCAGCAUGUGGGGAAUUCUCUGCUGGUUUCCGCAAUGGGCGAAAGCCUGACGGAGCAACGCCGCGUGAGGGACGAAGGCCUCUGGGCUGUAAACCUCUGGUUUGGCUCAAGGAAUUGAAGAAUUGUAUGACGGUACUUGAGGAAUAAGCCACGGCUAAUUCCGUGCCAGCGGGAGCCGCGGUAAUACGGGAGUGGCAAGCGUUAUCCGGAAUUAUUGGGCGUAAAGCGUCCGCAGGCCGGGCCCUUCAAGUCUGCGCUGUAAAAGCGUGGAGCUUAACUCCAUCAUGUUAAGCAGUGGAAACUGAAAGGCUUGAGUAUGGUAGCAGAGGGAAUUCCCGGUGUAGCGGUGAAAUGCGUAGAUAUCGGGAAGAACACCAGUGGCGAAGGCGCUCUGCUGGGCCAUUACUGGUACGCUCAUGGACGAAAGCCAGGGGAGUUCGAAAGGGAUUUUAGAUACCCCUGUAGUCCUGCGUAAACGAUGAACAAACUCGACUAGGUGUCGGGGGAAUCGACCCCUUCGGUGUCGUAGCUAACGCGUUAAGUGUUCCGCCUGGGGAGUACGCACGCAAGUGUGAAACUCAAAGGAAUUGACGGGGGCCCGCACAAGCGGUAGUGUUCGGGAGUAUGGUUUAAUUCGCAACGAUGCAACGCGAAGAACCUUACCAGGGUUUGACAUCCUGCGAACCUCUUAGAAAUUUGAGGGUGCCUUCGGGAAUGCAGUGACAGGUGGUGCAUGGCUGUCGUCAGCUUGUCGUGAGAUGUUGGGUUUCAGAAGUCCCGAGCGCAACCCUCAUCUUUAGUUGCCAGCAGUUCGGCUGGGCACUCAGAAACUGCCUGGGAUGACCAGGAGGAAGGCGAGGAU